AAUGUGGUCUUUGUAGACAGUUGGUCACUAAAGCAGGUAUGACUGUAAAGAAUAAGACCCCCAGCAUUAUGUUACCUGGUAUGUCAUUAAGUACUAUAAUUUAUGCACAUUAUAUUUUGUUGAUGAUUUAACAUAGUGUAAUGAACCAGUUCGCCACAAUUUAAGUUAUCUUGCAGAAAACGUAGAGGGCGCAGUAAGCUUUUGGGGCGUAAGGGCUCAGAGCGCGAUUACGGCCGCACCAUGCGUAAAGCAGCUCUCAGAGCGUCUCAGAGGCUAUAAAUACCAGUAUUUCAUGGUAAUUUCGUCACCUCGACGCUGGCUCUCGUCUUGGUCAGAUAGCGAACUCUCCGCUUUGCUCCAACUGAGCUAAAAUAAGGAAAAGGAUUGGAGGCGAGAAAUAGAGUUCCUACAAAAGGCAAUCCCUGCCCUUACUACUUGUUGAGAUUAAUCCAGGUAAUUGGUGUCGGUGUUAACUAUGAUAAUGUGUUGGAGAUGUUGACUUAUGUUUGUAUUAUUAAAGUAUACAGUUAAACAAUCCAUCGUUUCAUAACGUGUGAUUAGUUGAGUCUCCAUAGACUGACGUAAUAUAACCCUCUCAUAGAGAAUACACAUCCACCUAUCCAAAACACCUCUCAUCUCCACACCCAUAUAUUUUGGGAAAACGGAGCCAUGUCCGGGACUCUAGACUACAAGCCAAAUAGAAACCGCUCGCAUUAGUCAGGAUGACAAACUCUUCGUCAGAUGAUGGUGAUAGAGGCAAGGAACAGGCCAGCCCUCCAGCAUCCAGGACCCGUUCUAAGAUGGAGGGCCGUAACAAUAGUGAUUUGUAUCUUCUUCUGCAAAAUGUUUCAAAUGGACUUUAUGAAUACAUACCGUAACUUGAAAACAAAUCAUUAAAUUUCAUUUCUUGUA